rnacentral:rRNA from 1 species
CCUACGGGAGGCAGCAGUGGGGAAUUUUGGACAAUGGACGCAAGUCUGAUCCAGCCAUUCCGCGUGCAGGACGAAGGCCUUCGGGUUGUAAACUGCUUUGUACGGAACGAAAAAGCUCUUAUAAAUACUAGGAGUCCAUGACGGUACCGUAAGAAUAAGCACCGGCUAACUACGUGCCAGCAGCCGCGGUAAUACGUAGGGUGCAAGCGUUAAUCGGAAUUACUGGGCGUAAAGCGUGCGCAGGCGGUUAUAUAAGACAGAUGUGAAAUCCCCGAGCUUAACUUGGGAACUGCAUUUGUGACUGUAUAGCUAGAGUACGGCAGAGGGGGAUGGAAUUCCGCGUGUAGCAGUGAAAUGCGUAGAUAUGCGGAGGAACACCGAUGGCGAAGGCAAUCCCCUGGGCCUGUACUGACGCUCAUGCACGAAAGCGUGGGGAGCAAACAGGAUUAGAUACCCUGGUAGUCCACGCCCUAAACGAUGUCAAACUGGUUGUUGGGUCUUCACUNACUCAGUAACGAAGACGUAACGACGUGAGUUAGACCGCCGUCGGGGAGGGUAACGGGUCCGGCCGAAGGUUAGGUAAACGUUAACCGAAACGUAAGUUAAGUUAGGUUACGGCGUUGGAGGACGUUGCCGAACGGACGACCGACCGACGGGGAAGGUUAGGAGG